rnacentral:rRNA from 1 species
GAUCCUGGCUCAGGAUGAACGCUAGCUACAGGCUUAACACAUGCAAGUCGAGGGGCAGCAUGGACCCAGCUUUGCUGGGUUUGAUGGCGACCGGCGCACGGGUGAGUAACGCGUAUCCAACCUGCCCUUUACUCCGGGAUAGUCUCCUGAAAGGGAGUUUAAUACCGGAUGUGUUUGUCUUUCCGUCAUGGGAGGCGACAAAUAAAGAAUUAAUUGGUUAAAGGAAGUGGGGAGGUGCGUCCCACUUAGUCUU